rnacentral:rRNA from 1 species
AAUGGGCGAAAGCCUGAUCUAGCCAUGCCGCGUGAGUGAUGAAGGCCCUAGGGUCGUAAAGCUCUUUCAACUGUGAAGAUAAUGACGGUAGCAGUAGAAGAAACCCCGGCUAACUCCGUGCCAGCAGCCGCGGUAAUACGGAGGGGGUUAGCGUUGUUCGGAAUUACUGGGCGUAAAGCGUACGUAGGCGGAUUAAUAAGUUAGAGGUGAAAUCCCAGGGCUCAACCCUGGAACUGCCUUUAAAACUGUUAGUCUUGAGAUCGAGAGAGGUGAGUGGAAUUCCAAGUGUAGAGGUGAAAUUCGUAGAUAUUUGGAGGAACACCAGUGGCGAAGGCGGCUCACUGGCUCGAUACUGACGCUGAGGUACGAAAGUGUGGGGAGCAAACAGGAUU